GGAUUAGAUACCCUGGUAGUCCACGCCGUAAACGAUGUCGACUAGCCGUUGGGCGACUUGAUUGCUUGGUGGCGCAGCUAACGCACUAAGUCGACCGCCUGGGGAGUACGGCCGCAAGGUUAAAACUCAAAUGAAUUGACGGGGGCCCGCACAAGCGGUGGAGCAUGUGGUUUAAUUCGAUGCAACGCGAAGAACCUUACCAGGCCUUGACAUCCUGCGAAUUUGGUAGAGAUACCUUAGUGCCUUCGGGAACGCAGUGACAGGUGCUGCAUGGCUGUCGUCAGCUCGUGUUG
rnacentral:rRNA from 1 species